CUGGCACCCGAGCGGUUGGCGGGGCGGGGCAAUUUCCCGAGGGCCGGCUUCGAGAAAACUCUUCUGCGUCUCUGUCCCUCCCCUGACCCAAGGAAAAGGAUUCUCCUCUCAGAAAAAUAGCAUCUGCUGGACCAAGCUCUACCCCGUUUCUGCCUCUGGGGAGCAUCACGGGGAUAGGUUUGCUGGAGUGUGUGAAUCGGAGUAGCCUCCACCCCACCACACUACCUAGUGCAAGGGAACAGACAGAAGACUGGGAGGCGUUGAGGGAACAGAAGAAACCCUCACUCUCGUUUCCAGUCUCUGACCCCUGGGCAUCUCUCGGCUCUUAAAUGUACUUUGAUGUUGAAGCCACUGAAGCUGUGCACGCACCCUCAGCACUGCUCUGACUUAAACCAGCCGAAUCCCAAGUCAGCACCUGAAGUCCUUGCUGCCUCCUCCCGUUAGAACUCGGCAUCGUCAGCCUUUUCCCGUUCAUUGUUCUCCCUCUGGGCGACAAUCUGCCUGCAUCGACUAUGGAAGCCCUGACCCAAGAAGGUAAUCUGUGUUUCUCAGCCCUCCCCACCUUCAGCCUGGCCUGGGCUUCCACCACUCUCACUGCUGCACCUGGAGCAACUGUCCAGCCCAAGAAGUCAGGUAGGUAACAAUGCCCAGCGUCCUGUUGCCUAGCAAUGGUGGAUGCAGUCCUUGACUACAGUGGGGAGAUGGGAAAAGGAGAGGAGGAAACUGGUGUAUGUGAGGCAGUAUAAGAAAGUGGGGAAGUGGGGCUGCUGUGUUCUGGAGGGCUGGAUUGCUCUCUCAGAGAACAAGGAAAGGGAAGGGGGAAGCUGCCUUGAAUCUUUGUUUGGAGAAGGGGGUAGGGAUUCCUUGUCCCCAUUCCUACCGGAAGGGGACAUUUCAGACCACUCUUCUUCAUUAAGCUAUAGGAGACUCAAAAAGCCCAAUAAAAACCUAACCACCACCUUGACCCCAGACACAAGGUGUCCCCCUUUCCUAUUCCCUGGACACAGUCUCCAGGUGUGGUUAAGACAGACAUCAGAUCAUUGUAUUCCCAAGGGGCCAAGGAGCCAGUGUCUUCCAAGAAUUCCUCCCCUUCCCUAGGGAAUUCUCCUCCUCACCUAACCUCCACCUUGUUGUCUAGGUGUGGAUGCCUGAACUAGUUUCCUGGGGACCAUGCACUUGUCCCCUUCCCCCAUGAGACCUUUCCAGAUUCCUACAUCUCUAAGUGCCCUCUCAAUUCUGAAAUUGUAAUUACUGAUCUGUUCAUAGUGAUGGCUAAUGCUCAGUCAAUACUUGUCCCUUCAGUAGAAUACUGUCUGCAUAAACUUCUUGAGGGCAGGAACUGUUGGGGUUACCCCCCCCCCAGUCUGUGAUUUCUUGAAGGUGGGGAAAUCCCAGGGAGGGAAAUCCUUUCCUCUGCAAAGUAUAAUCUUAAAGAGCUACCUCAGAAACAGGUUAAAUGAUUUGGCCAGGGUCAUGCAGCCAAUAUGUCAGAAGUGGGGGGAGGGUUUGAACCCAGGUCUUCCUGACUCCAAGGCCAGUUCUCUCUCUCCAUUGGGCCACACUUCCUUUUAUAUAGUAGGUGUUUAAUAAACGUUUGUCGAAUUGGAUUGAAAUGGAAGAGAACAGGGCAAGCCCUAUGGAGCUGCUCCCUCCAAUCAGAGAUUUCUCUCACUGCCAGAUUCUACUAUUAGGAAUUCAUUCCUUUGGAUUCAACAUUACCUUCUCUCGAUCCCACAAUCUCAUACUUCAGAGUGAAUGAAAUGAUCAGACUCUUUUAUCUAGAUAGGUGAGGGCAGGGCAUGGGAGAGAGGUAGCAGACAUGUUAAAGGAUGCUCAAAGGGAGAUGGGGAGGGGAGGGCACAGGAAGGGAAGGUAGGUAGGGGUCUCUGUGACUUUAUCCUGGUCAAAUGAGUUCCCCUGUCUGGGCCUCAGUAUUCUCCUCUGGUUGUGUCUUCAGGGACUCUUCUCAGCUCUACUCCAUAGAAAUCUUCUCUUCCUUCAAGACUUAGUUCGAGCAUAAUCUUCUCCGUGAAGCCUUUCCUGCUUUUCCCAACUGCUAGAGUCCCCUGCCCCACACCACCUAGCAUUUGUCUGUAUGUAUUCCCUUUAUGUUUGUUCUGUAUACACUUCUAUAUGCACUUGUUUUCUCCCUCCCACCUCCACACACAUCCUAGAACGUAAGCUCCCCAAGAGUCUGUGGGGUUUUUUAAACAUUUUUUUGUGUCCCUAGUGCCUAGCACUGUGUUGGGCCCAUAGCUGGAACAUGAAUGCUUGCUGAUUAAAUGAUCCCUAAUGUUCCUUCUGGAACUGAUCUUCUAUAAUGAAGUGGCUAAAAACUAAUCUCCCCCCUUCAAAAUAAAAGCCAGUCCCCACAUAUGGGGGAACAACUGAACGCUCA